rnacentral:misc_RNA from 1 species
GAUGAAGAACGUAGCGAAAUGCGAUACGUAAUGUGAAUUGCAAAUUCUGUGAAUCAUCGAGUCUUUGAACGCACAUUGCGCCCCCUGGUAUUCCGGGGGGCAUGCCUGUCCGAGCGUCAUUGCUGCCCUCAAGCACGGCUUGUGUGUUGGGCCCCGUCCUCCGAUCCCGGGGGACGGGCCCGAAAGGCAGCGGCGGCACCGCGUCCGGUCCUCGAGCGUAUGGGGCUUUGUCACCCGCUCUGUAGGCCCGGCCGGCGCUUGCCGAUCAACCCAAAUUUUUAUCCAGGUUGACCUCGGAUCAGGUAGGGAUACCCGCUGAACUUAAGCAUAUCAAUAAGCGGAGGA